AUACUUAACCUGGCAGUGGAGAUACCAGGAUCAUGAAGGUGGUUUUCCCAGGAUGAAGCUCAUUCAUUGCACACAGGAUGUCCUGACCCCUGUGAUUUCUCCAAAUGCGGGAAUUCGACUACAUAAUUUGUGGUAGUGGGGAACAGCAUUCAUGCUUUCCCCUG
rnacentral:snRNA from 1 species